rnacentral:rRNA from 1 species
UACGUAGGCAGCGAGCGUUGUUCGGAAUUACUGGGCGUAAAGAGUGCGUAGGCGGUGCUCUAAGUCUGUUGUGAAAUCUCCCGGCUCAACUGGGAGGGUGCGGCGGAAACUAGAGUGCUAGAGUAUGGGAGAGGUAAGCGGAAUUCCUGGUGUAGCGGUGAAAUGCGUAGAUAUCAGGAGGAACACCUGUGGUGUAGGCAGCUUACUGGACCAUGACUGACGCUGAGGCACGAAAGCGUGGGUAGCAAACAGG